CUGGUGGGGGUGGGCUCGAGGUUUUAUUUUUAAGCUAGCUGAGAUGUCUGCCCCCUGCAUUAAUUCUGCUACGCGAAGACCGGGCACCGUGCUUCCCAGUACGCUUCUAGGCGGCCGAGGGAGAAAGCCCCUCCAGGCUCGCAGACCCCACCUUUGACUCGGUCGACAAGAAGGCAGCGUGCGUUCCCCGCCCUGUGCCCACCUGAGCGUCCAGCUCAGCCCUGAACGCUCAGGACACGGGAGGGGCUGGGAGGGGCCGCGGCACCGGCUCUGGAACCGUGGUCCCGAGUUCAAACUCCUGCCUCCUGGAACCGGGUGUGCCCUUGAGCAGCUUAAAUAUAACCCCUCCUGGCAAACUGUCUGCCCUUGUGAAACAGGGGCGGCCAUGCCUACCUUGCAGGUGCAGGAAAACUGGCAGUAACCAGCAAAGGAGCGGGUGCUCCCGGGCACUGCCUUCUUCAUGCAUCUGUGAUAGCUUCACAAAGCUGGUGGCCAGGACAGCAUCUCUGUCCUCUUGGGGUUUAUAUUCUAGGGAAGGAGACAAAAAGAAGGCAAAAUUAAAAACAAAAACAAAAACAAACACCGUUGACAGAUGGUGAGGAAUGCCAUGCAAAUGGAGGGUGUUGGGCGACAGUGUCCGGGGAAGUUCUGACCUAGGGAGGUAGGGACAUGUGAGCCACCACCACGCAGCAGGCACAGGCAGCAGGGCAGCGGGAGAAGCCAGCUGAGGCCAGCGCGUGUCAGACCCAGAGAGGGAGUCAAGAAUUUACCCCAAGAGCGAUGGGAAAGCCUUCGUGGGGAUUUAAGCAGCAAACUUCCUGCUGGGUCUUCUCCUCCACCCUAUUCGCAAGCCCAGUGGCACUAACAGAGGCAGACUCCCAGCUCUACUCACACCUCCGCCACCGCCACCCCAGUUUGGGUCACCCCUCACCCCUUGAUGGGUCUCCUGCUUCUGGCCUUGAACCACUUCAGCCUGAUCUCACAGCAGCGAGAGUGAGCCUGUUAAAACAAAUCAGAUCAUACCCUUCCUCUGCUCAAGAACCUGUUAUGGCUCCCAUAUCAGUCCGAAUAGAAGCCAAAGGCCUUAUGGCACCUAUGGGGCCUGAUCUGGCCACACCUCUCCCUUUAUCUCUCCAGCCUCCUUAUGGACUCCCCGUCCUCUCCCUCACCCUGCUAAGCUACAAUGGCCUCCUUGCUGGUCCUCAAACACACCAGCACCCUCUGCCUCAGGGCCUUUGCACUUGCUGGUCUCUCUUGCUGGGACUCUUUUAUCCCGUUAUCCACAUGGUUCACUCCCUACUUCUUCAGCUCCUCAUCUGGCCUUCCCUGACCCCCCCUCAAAAAUUGCAAAACACCCCAGUCCACUGCCCACCCUUGCCAGCACCUCCUGCUCCAUUUCUCCACUUCAGCUUUCUUCUUUGCCCUGACCGCCAUCUGACAGACUACCUUUCUUCCCUCCACCAGAAUGGAGGCUCCGUAAGAACAGAGACUUCAGUGUUCUGUUCCCUGUGGGUCCCCUGAGCCUAGACAGGGCCUGGCACAUGCAGCUGCUCUGAAGUUCAAGGCAAGACUCUAAAUCUGGGAUGCGAAGAAGCUGAAGCCCCCACGCGCAGUGUUGCGAAGGAUUGAAAGGAAAAUGAAGCAAGAACGUAAACGGACAUCGGGAUGCUGUGUUCCGGAGGAGGGAGGCGGAAGGCUGGACCCCCAGAGCCGGAGAAUUCGGAUUCCGGCCUCGCAAGGGCGGUCAUUUUUAGACUCUUCACUCAUGUAAGAAGCAACCGGAGAACGUGCUAAGCUUCGACUUCCCCAGAAGGCUGCCUGUCGCAGCUCGUCACGCCGCAGAGCUCUUCCUCCGCCUCGCGUCUGGAAGCGCCCACUCUCGAUUUAUUUGUCUGAUGCAAGUUCCACCCCAGGGAGGUCACGGGGCAUUGGCACCUGCCGGAUCUAAUCGUUUCCGGGGACAGAGGCUCAAUCGGGGUCCAUUUCGGGCCCAUCCAAGGAUGACAUCUCAGCCCCAUGACAUUGGGGAAAAGUGCCUUUGUGGUCUCCCUCCCGAGCUGGAACAUGCUGACUCUGGAGAGUUAUUCUGGGCAUGAGAAGCUUCCCGCCGGGCAGGCCCGGCCGCUGUGGUCAGAGGUGUGCUUUGGGCUCCCAGCAUGGCUGGGCCUCCGAGCCACGAGCAUCCUCCCGAGGGCAGCUCGGUGGAGGCAACGGUGGGAGUGUCUGCUGACCGGCCCAUCCCUCAGAGCCCCGGGGCCUCUCCCCUGCCACAGCACCAGCUCCUGGCACCUGCUGGGAGGCGGGCUGGGGAAGGCGGCCAUUGGCGCAGGGUGGCCAGAAAGCUAAGUUGGUAGCCAGACACGGUUUCUAUGGAAACCGUAGCUGGGAUGUGAGGGACACAGGCUGGACUCACCUCUCUGAGCCUCCAUUUCCUCAUUCAUAAAAAUGCAAACGAUGAUAUCUGCUCGACUGCUUAUCUCUCAGUGCUGGUGUGAACCUCAAAUAAGAUAAGACUUGUAAAAUGCUCCUUAGGGGCCGGUCUGAUGGCGUAGUGGUUGAGUUGGCGCACACUGCUUGGGCAGCCCUGGGUUCGCAGGUUUGGAUCCCAGGUGUGGAACCUACACACCGCUCAUCAAGCCAUGCUGUCAUGGCGUCCUGCAUACGAAAUAG
rnacentral:lncRNA from 1 species